rnacentral:miRNA from 10 species
UGUAUGUAUUCAUGUAUGUGUGUGUGUGCAUGUGUGUGUGUGCACACGUGUGUCUAUGCACAAAUACACAUAUAUACACAUACACAGAAUAUCUAUAAAAU